rnacentral:rRNA from 1 species
UACGGGGGGGGCAAGCGUUGUUCGGAAUUACUGGGCGUAAAGGGCUUGUAGGCGGCCAACUAAGUCAUACGUGAAAUCCCUCGGCUUAACCGGGGAACUGCGUCUGAUACUGGAUGGCUUGAGUUCGGGAGAGGGAUGCGGAAUUCCAGGUGUAGCGGUGAAAUGCGUAGAUAUCUGGAGGAACACCGGUGGCGAAGGCGGCAUCCUGGACCGAUACUGACGCUGAGGAGCGAAAGCCAGGGGAGCAAACGGG